rnacentral:rRNA from 1 species
UACGUAGGGGGCAAGCGUUGUCCGGAAUUACUGGGCGUAAAGGGCGCGUAGGCGGCCUGUUAAGUCGAACGUGAAAUCCCCGGGCUCAACCCGGGAACUGCGUCCGAUACUGGCAGGCUUGAAUCCGGGAGAGGGAUGCGGAAUUCCUGGUGUAGCGGUGAAAUGCGUAGAUAUCAGGAGGAACACCGGUGGCGAAGGCGGCUUUCUGGACAGAUACCGACGCUGAGGCACGAAAGCUAGGGGAGCAAACAGG